CUCUGUAAAUAGAAACAACUGCACCUUACUUGUCAUUAGCACACCAUUUCCCCCUCUACUGUGGCGUCACUUAAAGUUCCGAACUGUCGGGUAUCUCCUGAUAAAGUUUGAAGUUAAAUAAUAUAUAUAUGCCACCGGGCAAAUGUCUCUCGUCAAGAUUGAGACAUAGUCCCGGGUCAAUAUUAACAAUAUGCAAACACUUGCAUACGCAGCAAUACCUAAACCUAAAGAUACAUAACAAUACGCAAAUCCUAACUAUGAGAUAAGCAGCAUGCAACUCUCAAAUGGCCAUUAUAACUACAUGUGUUUUGACGCCCAGCUUUUCAAUUUGUUUCGGAGGCAGCAAAAAGCUGGAUCCCGAUUCAUAUCAAAAGAUGUCUUCCGCAAAUAACUAUAAAACUACCCCUUA